UCUCUUAUAUGUAAGCAUGAGUUCUUUUGUGCCUUGCGCGUAGCGCAAUGCCUUCUUUACCAUCUUCCAGUGUUCUAUACCUGGAUUACUUUGAUAUCUACCGAGAACCCCGGUGACAAAAGCUAAGUCAGGGUGAGUGCACACUUGGGCAUACUGUAAGCUUCCGACAGCUGAAGCAUAUGGAACCGCUUUCAUUUGAUCGAUCUCGUACUGGUUCCUGGGACAUUGAAAAUUCCCAAAACUGUCGCCCUUGACUAUAGGAGCAGGUGUGGCCUUACUCGCAUGCAUAUUGUACUUCUUUAGAACCUUUUCUAAAUUUGCCCUUUGCGAUAAUCCAAGGACCCCAUUCAAUCUAUCUCGGUGAAUUUCUAUGCCCAAAACAUAUGUUGCUUCACCAAGAUCCUUCAUAUCGAAGUUUGAGGACAAGAACUUCUUUGUCUCUUGCAGUAGACUGAUAUCACUGCUUAUAAGCAAAAUAUCAUCAACAUACAGGAUUAGGAAAAUAUAUUUCCCAUUUUUGAACUUUGCAUAGACACAAUUGUCCUCUAUAUUCUCUUGAAACCCAAAUUUCUUUAUUAUAUCAUUAAACUUUAGAUACCACUGUCUAGAGGCUUGCUUUAAUCCGUAAAUGGAUUUCUUUAGACGACAUCCCAUAUUCUCUUUGUCUUCCAUGACAAAACCCUUUGGUUGUUUCAUGUAGACGUUUUCUUCUAAAUCCCCAUUUAGAAAUGCCGUCUUUACAUCCAUCUGAUGUAACUCUAAAUCAAAAUGUGCAACUAGUGCCAUUAUGAUUCUGAAGGAGUCUUUACAUGAGACAGGAGAAAAAGUCUCAUUAUAAUCUAUUCCUUCUCUUUGUGUAAAACCUUUUGCCACAAGUCUCGCCUUAUACCUUUCUAUAUUCCCUUUGGAGUCAUGUUUAGUCUUGUAGACCCAUUUACAGCCUACUGUUUUGGCUCCUUUAGGAAUCUCCUCAAGUUCCCAAACAUUGUUGGAACUCAUCGAUUUCAUCUCAUCUUCCAUGGCCUCUAGCCACUUCGAUGAGUGAACACUUUUCAUGGCUUCUUCAUAUGAAGUGGGAUCACCUUCUAUAUGAACUUCUUCUGUAUUAUAAACUUUAUAACAAUCAGGGAUAGCUGAUUUUCUGACCCUUUGAGACCUUCUAGGCCCCUCACUUUCGGGCACAUUCUGUGCCUCUGCUUCUGGCACACUGUUCAGAGGUGGCUACUGCAACUCUUCCUCGUGUGUAAUGAUGGGUUCAGUUGGCUCCUGAAGGACAGGUUCCAAAACUUCACUCAUCGUUUCCACGGGUGGAAUCACAGCAGGUGCCUGCACCACAAUAUCAGGGACUGUAGCGGGUGCUUGCACCACGAUCUCAGGAACUAUUGGUGCGGGAAUAAUAGGUAGUGAGAAGUAUGGUUCCUGAAUCAUCGGAUUAGGUGCACACACCCGCUUCUCCUCAAGAUCAAUCUCUCGAGCUACCAUGCUCCCCCUCACCAUCUCAUCCUCUAAGAAAAUCGCCUGUCUCGUUUCUACAAACUUUGUGAAUCUAUCUGGACAGUAGAAACGAAAACCCUUUGAUUUUUCCGGAUAGCCAAUGAAGUGGCAACUUACUGUUUUGGGAUCUAGUUUCCCGAUGUUUGGGUUAAACACUUUGGCCUCAGCUGGGCUCCCCCACACACGCAGGUGGUUUAGUGAGGGUACUCUUCCUGUCCAUAGUUCGUACGGUGUUUUGGGCACCGACUUACUUGGCACUCUAUUUAGAAUGUGAAUGACGGUCUUCAACGCCUCCAUCCACAGUCCCAAUGGUAAGGUGGAAUAGCUCAUCAUGCUGCGCACCAUAUCCAUCAGUGUGCGGUUACGCCUUUCAGCUACUCCAUUUUGCUGAGGCUCGCCCGGCAUCGAAUACUGGGCUACUAUGCCAUUUUCCUGCAAAAACUUUGCAAAAGGUCCAGGAACUUGGCCAAAUGGGGUAUGUCGACCAUAGUACUCCCCCCCACGGUCGGAUCUUACUAUUUUGAUUCUUUUGUUAUGCUGAUUUUCAACUUCAGCUUUAAAUAUCUUAAAUUUAUCCAACGCUUCUGAUCUUUCUUUGAUUGGAUAAAUGUAACCAUAACGGGAGUAAUCAUCUGUGAAUGUUGUGAACAAGUCAUAGCCAUCCACGCUUUUCACAGGAAAAGGUCCACAAAUAUCAGUGUGGAUUAUCUCUAAAACUCCUGUGCUACGUUUAGCGCCUUUUUUAAUUUGCUUUACAAAUUUUCCUUUAAUGCAAUCAACGCAUUGUUCUAAGUCUGAGAACUCUAAUUGAGGAAGAAUUUCAUUCUUAACUAGUCUUUCUAUUCUCCCCCUCGAAAUAUGGGCUAAACGACAGUGCCAUAAUUUCGACGAUAUUUCAUGAGUUCUCUUUCUUUUCUUUGUUUCUUUCUCUGACGAUGAUACAUUCGUAUUCACAUCACACACAGAAUUUACUUUUUCACGCAAUGAUAAUAAAUACAACUCAUUGUGAAGGAUGGCAACACCAACACAUGCAUUAUCGAACCAAAUGGCACACUUUCCAUUUCCAAAAUGACAUUCAUAACCAUCAUGGUCCAAACGUGAAAUACUUAUCAAGUUUCUGUGUAAUGAGGGAACAUAAAGCACAUCUCUAAGUACAAGCAUGAAACCAUCAACUAGCUCUAGAGAGACAUCGCCAACAGCUUCAACUUCUGCUUGGACUCCAUUUGCGACUUCAACGCAUCUUUCGCUUUUUUGCGUAGUCCUCGUCGAAUGGAAUCCCUGUAAAGAAUUUGCAACAUGAACAGUUGCACCUGAGUCAAUCCACCAAGUAGAUUUCGAAUACUGUGUAUACAAGGAUUCAUUUACAAAAGAAAUAGUAUUCUCACCUCCUUUUGCCAUUAUUGACUUUAACCAGUCUGGGCAGUCUUUCUUGAAGUGCCCAUUUUUCUUGUAGUGUAGACAUUGAUCUUUGUCUACUGUGAGAGGCUUUUGGUGAUUCUGCUGCAUAGGAGCUUUUCCACGUGCCUUGAAAGAGGGGUUAGCAAUCUUUUUCCUGUUAUCCUUCACAUAGUGCAAUGAGCCACCAUGUGAGGAUCUAAGUCUGUCCUCUUCCUGCACGCACAUGGCUAUCAUUUUCUCCAUGUCCCACUGUUCUGGCUGCAUGUUAUAAUUGACAACAAAAGUGUCAAACUCUUUAGGCAGAGAAGCAAAAACCAAAUGCAUAAUGUGCCCAGGUUUGAGCUCAAGAUCCAUAGGCUUCAGCUGUGCUGCCAAGUUAUACAUCCUCAUGAUGUGAUCUCUUAGAUUGAUCUCUUAUGCCAGUCCCUCCGCCAUUGUACCUCUCUGUGGCCAGCUGCUUGAACAGCUGGGUAGCAUAUAUCUUUGAGGAACCAGUGAACUGAUUCCUUAUCUUGUCGAGGUACUCUGAAACGGAGUCACACUCUGCGAUCGAGCCCAAAAUCGCAGGCUCAAUCGUAUUCUUUACCAAAGCCAUACAUUUCUUGUUGGCAGUGGUCCACUGUUUGUUUUCAAGGGUGUAUGCCAACUCCAGUGGAGCAUAGUCCCUUUCCUUUUGCUGCCAUACAGCAUCAUCAUCACCAUCAGCCCUCACUGGCUUCUGUGGAGCUUGUGGCUGCGGUGUGGUCAGCACCCAGUCAACUUCUCCACAAACGAAGGAGAACUCAAUCUUCUUCCUCCAUUCUGUAUAGUUGUUGCCUUUCAGAAUGGGUAUCUCUUUGAGACACGCCAUUAAGUUUAAUGAUCCGGAAAUUUACAAUCCAUAAGUGAGAUCAUAAUGACAAUUGCAUGAUUCAUUUCCAACAUUGGUCAAAAAAUAAAACAUACAACUGUUGAUACAAUUUAAAACUAUAUCACCGUUGGGCAGAAAUAGAAAUAAAAGCAUCAAAAGAACUUUUUAAAUCAUGAUACAGUUAUUAACAACGUUGGUCAGAAAAUAACAGCACCAUGAUCUAAUUAACUUUAUCAUACUCUCACAAAAAUUUAAUUGUCUCGUUGGUUCAAAUUAAAUUUAAAUGGAGCAAUAAAUAUGACUUUUGCAGCGGCAACUGUGAAAUAAAUCUAUUUUCAGAAGCAAAACACUGUACAAAACUUUAUUAAUCUCUAAUACAAAUUAUCCCGUUGGUUCAAAUUAAAUUAGAGACUAAAACUAUGCAAAAAACAUCAAUUAAAUGCUUCUGGAAAUAGAAAAAACAAAAUAUCAGAAGUUACUGUGCAAAACCCGAAAAUCGGCCCACUCGCGAAAACGGCCCACAGCCCGUUCCCGCGUGCGGCCCGCUCGCCCGACGCCGGCGGCCUGCCAACGCGGCCCACGAAGGCGGCCCGCUAACGCGGCUCAGCGCCUGCCUCUCGUGCGGCUUCGUUGCUCAGGCUGCAACCUGGGCCUGGGCCGCCAAAGCGGCCUAGCGCUUUCUCCCGCCUGGGCCGAAACUGGCCCGUUCAACCUGAUCCGUCCGAUUUGAUCGGACGGUCCGGCGGCAUUCUCGGCGGAUCAAAACCGGCCGACGGCCGGCCCCUGGAAACCCUAGCCCCAUUCGGUCUUUCUCCCCGCUCGCUCUCGCCGCGGCAGCGGCGGCGGGGCCGUCUCUCCCGCGCCCGGCGAUGGCCGGCGGCGGCGGUGGAGGGAUGGCCCCGCCGGCGCACAGCCGCGGUAGCCCCCUCCUCCCCCUCUUUUCUAGCCUCUCCCCUUCCUCCCUCCGAAAACCCCGAAAAGACGAGAUCCAGAGGGCCAUGGCGACCAUGGAGAAGGGCCAGCGCCACCGCGGGUCCCCUCGCCGGCGCGCGCGUCCACCCCGAGGGUUGGGCGCGCCGCCAUCGAGCGGUCCUGUGGUGGUGCUUUUGCGCCCCCCCGAGCCCCGAGCGAAUGCUCCAGCGGCUCGGGUGAACCUGUUCCCGGUGAGCCUGAGGCUCGGCCGGCCUUUGCCGCUCGCCGUCGGUGGACUUGCGGCGGUGAAGUCGACGACAGGUAAGUCUCCUGCGUCUCUCUUUUCUUUAGAUCUAGGGUUAGGGUUAGGGUUUCUGUUACUUUUCUAUCUUCUUCUUUUUCUCGAUUCACUUCUUUUCCCGAUCUACAAGGACUUCUAGGAGGUGUCUGAUACCAUUGUUAGAACCUAUCCUAGGAUCUCUAGAUGCACAUCUAGUUGGGUUCGAGAGAGACAUGAGGGACAUGGUGUUCUUGGUGAGUGCCGAGUGUGAGAGGGAGAGAAAUGGGGUACCUUCACCCCUAGAGGUGGGAGCAGCAGAGCUGCUGGCCAUCGCGGGUUCUGUCGAUGUAGUCUGCGCAAGGCAGCGACGCGCAGUGCCGAGUCCGGUCGCCGGUGAGGUGGCGGUGGUGCUUCCCGCCGCUACUGCGCAACCUAGAUCGGUAGGUGUGUCGGUGGGGGUGGUUGGCUGCGGCGAACCUCGUGAGCCGAGCCGGGUCCCCCCACCCUAUUUAUAUAGCGCAGCGCGACAGGGGCCCACCACCCAUUGAUAGGGUGAGUGCCCCCGAUCAGGGCGCAGAUCAAGGUCAGGUCAAUCGGGAAAGAGAUCAAUCUAACAUUCUCCCCCUUGAUCUCAUCAUUUACUUUUAGCUUUACACUUUUCACUUUUAUUCGUUUCAUCGUAGAUUAAUAUGUAGAGCAUGUUUCAUCGUCACAGCUUAAUUGCCGAUAGAAUCAACAGCUACAACACUUUUUACCUUUCCCAUGGAGGCGUUAUUAGGUCUUAUGCUGUGCACCCAGGAGGCAACAGAUUCUAUGUUUCUGUAACGCCAGGAAAGCACUAUAGCUCCAACACCGGCUAUUAUGGUGAUGACAUUCCAGGUUUAGCAAAGGCCAAGGAGAAGGCGGCAGAGACGAAGGCUGGCACAUACACGUACCGCGUGAAAAGCCGUGAGUGGACGCACCUUGGCACUUGGAUGUUGCCAUUCGCCGGCCAAGGCUACUAUGAUCCUGAGCUGGACGCAUGGGUUGGUUUUGACAUGGACUACCAAGGCAAUCGUUGCAAGAUAGGCAGCUGUGACAUCCCAUCUCGUUCGUGGGGAAGUCCUGAGCCGCCAACCUGGAAGCUGUGCGAGAAGAACUUCUCUUUGGCAACAACAUCGGCAGGACAGUGUUGGAGGUAUGCCCUAGAGGCAAUCAUAGAGAUGAUGAUAUUCCAUUUGUAUCCAUGAUUUGUAUAUUGUGUUCAUUGAAUAUCCAUUAAAGGCUACUUGAAUUGAUUUGCAAUUAUGUGAAUUGUAUGUGAAACUCUUUACUUGUAUGGUUAUUCUAAAGUUGUCCCUAGUCGGAGUUCAUGUGAGGACACACAUGAAUAUUAGACUAGCACAUGUAUUAGUUGAUGACUAUGUUUCACAAGUCAUGGACAUGGAGAUGUUGAACUAAUAAUGUACACAUGUGGAGACAUGUGUUAGGACUGACCCAACACGAGAAGUAGUUCUCUCUUCAAACAACAUAUACGCUUUGUCCUUAGACCUGAGAUUGUCGCAUGUGUUCUAGAUGUGGAUCGACUUACUUAGGGGCUAUCAAACGCUACGCCGUAACAGGGUAGUUAUAAAGGUAGCUUUCGGGUUUGUCAAGAAGCAUGCUAUGAGACAUGGUCAAUCAAGAAGGGAUUUGCCCCUCUCUGAUUGAGAGUGAUAUCUCUGGGCCCCUCGAGUGAUCGGAUCCGAAAAUGCAUGGCCAUGCUACGUACGGUUAAGAGUUAACCUACAAAGGGAUUCCGAAUCACAGGAUCGAGAAAGAGCGGUCGGCUUGAAGCUAGACCAAAUAUCGUGAGGCAAAGGGAAUAGCAUGUAUAUUAUGUUGUGAUGGUUCGUCUGAUAUGAUCUUCGUGUGCGUAUAGGAGUUGGCACGUCUUGCUAGAGGCCGCUACCGACUAUUGGGCCGAGUAGGAGUACUCGGGCCAUGUCUAUACGUAUCCGAACCCAAAGGGUCGCACACUUAAGGGGCUGGAAGCCCAAUUCGGAUUUGAUCCGAGUUGGAUUAGGUUUAGGAGUACUAAUGGGCCUCGGAUCCAGAGGCCCAUCAGGAACCCCUAUAAAUAGAGGGGUGGGGGCGCCCUAGGGUUUCACACCUUUUGGCUGAACACACUUGCCGCGCCUCCCACGCCCUCGCCUGUUGCAACUCGCGGAUCUAGCAGUCCGGCUUGCGACGCUUCCUCCCUGCACGUGUGGAUACCUUGGAGGUGUUGCGCCUGCAGCACUUGGACGAGCCAUCGACGAGCCGCCGACGAGCCACGACGAGCCGCGGCACCGGAGGCGAUCUUGCUGUGCACGUGGACGAGCUGCUGAGGAGCUGCUGAACGUGAUCGACUACGUACGACUACGUGAUCGUCUUCACCGCACCGACGCAUAUCUACAUCUUCCGCACCAGUAGUGCGUCGAGUGGUAAUCCCGUGAUCCUUAUACGGCAGUUCUUCCUGGUUAUACGCGGUAGAAAUUUUGAUUUACGCUAGCGUAGCCUACCUCGUAUCCCAACAGACAGAACACCGACGUGCUGGUUGGCAUGGGUAGUGGAAAGUUUUGCCUCGUCCAGAGCAAGCCACGCAAUGGGGUCCACGACUGCUCGGGCGCUGGGGACAAGUUUGAGCUCCAUGUGACCAUAUUCCGAGCCAGGUAUGGUUAGACUGGGGAGCUCACCAUCACAGAUAGACGGCUUAUAAGCUCAUACGUGCUGUCCAGGUAUGCUGAAUAUGAGAAUUUUUCUAUGCAAGCAUUCUGGAUAUAACUAAUUCUGGAAAGCAUUAACUACAAAGACUUAAGAAAAAUGGUGGUAACUCUGUUCCAACUAUUUAGAUGAAAGAGAUUCUAGUUUCUCCAAGAUAACUAUUGGCUUAUUUAUUAGGAAACAUUCAUAGUGCUUAAAUCAGCAGUUUGUAUUUCCUAUAGUUCCGAUAUUUAAUUGAGGAGUCUCCAUAUCACGAUAUAUUUGUGUUUCAAUGUGAAUGGAAAAAAGCUUGAAACUAGUGAAUGAGUAGAAUGGAAUUCUGCCAUAACGAAUUGGAGUUUGCAGAAUUUUUCAAUGUAAGCAUUGUACAAAACCUAUAAGGUCCCGUUUGGGUCCAAGGAAUUGGAAUCUAUUUAAUGGAGUAGGCUAAUUUAUGUUGGAAUGUGGCAUUCCACAACUUUCCAAAGUUUAGAUAUAAGCCUAUCUUAAAUUCAUGGGGUGGGAGAUGGAAAUUGAUUCUAUAGAUUAUGGUUAUUAGAUGGAAUUCAAUUCUUAUAGCACGCUCUUAGACUCGCUUCUCUAUAGUAGAAGUGCAGCAUACAAGUAUCUCUCCCAUAUCACCAACUAUAAUAUACAACUAUAUUCCAGAUACAAUUAUAUUAGCUUAAUUAAUUUGUGUCUAAAUUAUGAUUAUUAGGAUGGAAUUCAAUUCCAUCGAAACAAACGGACCCUAAUGGUGUUUUGACUGUGGAUUGAAUAAUUAAGCUUAAAUGAACAAGCUGUAUAUCACAACUAUAAGAGAUGCAACAUGUGUUUAUGCCUAAAUCAAUUGCGUAUUCGUAAGUAAGGAAACAAGC
rnacentral:lncRNA from 1 species